GAGAUAAGAACAAUUUACUAGAAACAGCAGAGAGGUAAGAAACAAACAGUAUCAAUAUUGAUAUUAAUAUUGCACAGGAAAGAUGAUCAAUUCACAUGCAAAUGCCCACCCCAUGAAACCCAAUGUUACCCUGACUGGAAAGGACCCCCUUCUGCCCACCCACCCCUGUGUAUGGUGUGAGGCACUACAGGAUAACUUCCAGGUCUGGGUUACACCCCUCCUGGCUACUGCAACAAAUACUGUCCUGGCCAGAGCCAAGACAGCUCACUUGCCAGCUGUCCUUUGCCUCCCGAACACUCCAGGAACCUCCUAGACAGCUGCCUCUCCCUGCUGAUGUUUUCAGCAGACAACCCACAAAUUAAAAUCUCCCACAAGAACAAGGAGUAGUAGUUGUGAAACACCAGCCAGCUUCUUACAGAACAUUUCAUUUGCCCCUUUAUCCUGUCUGGGUGGUCUGUAACAGACUCCCCCUGGGAUGUCUGCUUCAUUGGCCUUUCCCUGAUCCCAACCCACGGACAUCCAAUCUUAUCAUCACGGCCCUUGAGCUCUGUACAGUCAAGACUCUCCCUAAUGUACAGAGUCACCUCACUGCCUCUGCUUGUCUGCCUGUCCUGAAGAGUUUAUAACCAUCAUUGCAGUACUCCAGCCAUGGGAGACAUCACACCACAUUUCCAUACUGGCAAAUAUGUCAGUUUUCCUGAAAUUUCAGUUCUGCACAGCUAUAGUGUCCAAGGCUCACAAAGGAAGUCUCCAGAGACCUCCUUGGAAUCUGCCAUAUUUACAGUGGUCAAUAAAUGUAGAGCCACACAUGAUCCUUUACUUCAGAACAUAUUCCUUCACUUCAGUAAUCACCACAUGCAUUCCCCAACAGCUGCAAGAAUGUGAAUUUAAAAUUUAAAACUUUUAAAAAAUUCACUCUACUGAAAGCAAAUAUCAUUCAAGUGCAUUUGAAAGAGCUCUGCUAUGGAACACUACUUUACUCUUGCCCCAAGGACAGGUCUUGACCCUUGCCUUGGUCUCUGCUCCAAAAAGAAAAAAAAAAAAAAAAAAAAAAGAAAAAGAAAAAAAAA
rnacentral:lncRNA from 1 species